AAUAUCACUAGUGGGCCGGGCCGUUACAAUUAAGAAAUCGUGUAAUAAAUUGAAAGUGAAAUAAGAUUGUUUGGGGUUUUGAUGUCUUUAUCUCAAACACAUAUUUGAUUUUAAUAUUGCAAUAAUUUUCACUAAUUUUUAGGGGAAAAAAAAGGUUUGAGGAACAAAUAACAAUAAAACAACUAAAUCAAAAUUUCAAAGAAUUUAACAUCAAAUUUCUAUUUAUAUUAAAAGUUAGAAGUGAUAACUCGUCAAGCUAUGAAAUCUUGGUAAUUCCAUUACAAAUUUGUUGCUAGAAACUUCAAUAAAAAAAAUUAAAUAAUAAAAAUAAUUAAAUCUAAACAAUUUGAUGAGCAACCUGUUUUGCUAACCCUUCAACUAUUGAAUUAUAAUUUAACUUCUCUAAAUAAAUAUACUAAAUUUGUAACUUCAUUAAAAAUAAGACAAAUUUCAGAGAUCCUUUAAUUGAAGAUGAGCCAUUGUAUGACAUUCUUAGAAUCAGAUUCAAUUUUGACGUUAAAGUCUUUGAUCCACAACAAAGAAGCAUAAAGAGAAAGAGCUUCAGGCAUAACAACAAGUAGUUUUGCUUUAUUAGAGUCCAUGAUACCAACAAGGGAAGAAAACAUGCAAUGAAAUGGAACAAUAGAGAACAGACAAUGCCAUCCCUGCUAAAAAACUUCUAUUUUUAUUUUUGGGGACAUGCCAAGCCAAACCCAAGAUAAUAAUGUAGAAAGGGGAAAAAGAGCCUUAUUUAGUAGCUUUGCAAGAGAAUAAAUAAUGAAAUUUCCUUUGAUGGUGUGCUUCCAUUCAAGCUUGUCAUGCUUAAGGGGUACAUUAACCACUCAAAUAUUUAAUACCAAAAUCUAGCCUUAAUCAAAGCAGCUAGCCUUAAUCAACUGACCAAAAAAAAAAAAAAAAACAGCAGCUAGCCUUAAUCAAAGUUCCACGAGAGUCCUCUUUGGUGAAGGAUUCUCAAAUAUUUUUCUAAAGACUAUAGCAUAUUGGAUAGAAGGGACUAAAUAUGGAUAAAUACACCAACACUACUUUUAAGUAAAGCUUUCGUAGAGCCAUUAUUUUUGUAAGUAACAUUAGAAUAAGCCUUUCCAAACAUGUUAGAAGAAUCAGCCUUCUUACCAUUACCUACUGAUUCAAUAGCACCUCUGACAUUGUUGUGCACUUCAGUUGUACCAGUAUCACAAGCAUUGGUUCCAUUGAAAGUAUUAGAUUUCUGCAUGUGAAUUGUUUUGCAGAAAGGAUCUUUCUGAAAAAUAUUUUUUUUAUAUAUUUUUUAAUUU
rnacentral:misc_RNA from 1 species